rnacentral:rRNA from 1 species
GAUGAACGCUGGCGGCGUGCCUAAUACAUGCAAGUCGAGCGACGCGGGGACGGGGGAGUAACACGUGGAUAACCUCCUCUAAGACGGGGGUAACUUCGGGAAACCGGUGCUAAAACGGCUACUGAGCCAUGGAUCCGUGCUGCAUUAGCUAGUGGGGAAGGUAACGGCUUACCAAGGCAACGAUGCGUAGCCGACCUGAGAGGAUGAUCGGCCACACUGGGACUGAGACACGGUCCAGACUCCUACGGGAGGCAGCAGUAGGGAAUCUUCCGAAAUGGGCGAAAGCCUGACGGAGCAAAGCCGCGUGAGUGAAGAAGGUCUUCGGAUCGUAAAACUCUGUUAUUGGGGAAGCGGUACCUAAACAGAAAGCCACGGCUAACUACGUGCCAGCAGCCGCGGUAAUAC